rnacentral:rRNA from 1 species
UACGUAGGGGGCAAGCGUUGUCCGGAAUUAUUGGGCGUAAAGAGCGUGUAGGCGGUCCGGUAAGUCAGCUGUGAAAGUCAAGGGCUCAACCCUUGAAAGCCGGUUGAUACUGUCGGGCUAGAGUCCGGAAGAGGCGAGUGGAAUUCCCGGUGUAGCGGUGAAAUGCGCAGAUAUCAGGAGGAACACCGGUGGCGAAGGCGGCUACCUGGACAGAAACUGACGCUGAGGCGCGAAAGCUAGGGGAGCAAACAGG